ensembl:snRNA U6 U6 spliceosomal RNA
GUGGUCACUUUGACAGCAUAUAUACUAAAUUUGGAACGUACAGAGAAGAUUAGCAUGGCCUCUGUGCAAGCACACAAAUUUCUGAAGCAUUCCAUACUUUU